UACGAAGGGGGCUAGCGUUGUUCGGAAUUACUGGGCGUAAAGCGCGCGUAGGCGGACGAAGAAGUCGGGGGUGAAAUCCCGAGGCUCAACCUCGGAAUGGCCUUCGAUACUCUUUGUCUGGAGUUCGGGAGAGGUUGGUGGAAUUCCGAGUGUAGAGGUGAAAUUCGUAGAUAUUCGGAGGAACACCAGAAGCGAAGGCGGCCAACUGGCCCGACACUGACGCUGAGGCGCGAAAGCGUGGGGAGCAAACAGG
rnacentral:rRNA from 1 species